rnacentral:rRNA from 1 species
CUACACGGGGGGCCUACGGGAGGCAGCAGUGGGGAAUUUUGGACAAUGGGCGAAAGCCUGAUCCAGCAAUGCCGCGUGUGUGAAGAAGGCCUUCGGGUUGUAAAGCACUUUUGUCCGGAAAGAAAUCCUUGGCUCUAAUACAGUCUGGGGAUGACCU